rnacentral:rRNA from 1 species
UGGGGAAUAUUGCACAAUGGGGGAAACCCUGAUGCAGCGACGCCGCGUGAGCGAAGAAGGCUUUCGAGUCGUAAAGCUCUGUCCUAUGAGAAGAUAAUGACGGUAUCAUAGGAGGAAGCCCUGGCUAAAUACGUGCCAGCAGCCGCGGUAAUACGGAGGAUACGAGCGUUAUCCGGAUUUAUUGGGUUUAAAGGGUGCGUAGGUGGCUGAUUAAGUCAGUGGUGAAAAGCUAUGGCUCAACCAUAGUCUUGCCGUUGAUACUGGUUAGCUUGAGUGUAGAUGAUGUAGGCGGAACGUGUAGUGUAGCGGUGAAAUGCAUAGAUAUUACGCAGAACUCCGAUUGCGAAGGCAGCUUACAAAACUACUACUGACACUGAGGCACGAAAGCGUGGGUAUCAAACAGG